AUUGAACGCUGGCGGAAUGCUUUACACAUGCAAGUCGAACGGUAGAGGGGGCAACCCCUUGAGAGUGGCGAACGGGUGAGUAAUAUAUCGGAACGUGCCCAGUCGUGGGGGAUAACGUAGCGAAAGUUACGCUAAUACCGCAUACGAUCUAAGGAUGAAAGCGGGGGAUCGCAAGACCUCGCGCGAUUGGAGCGGCCGAUAUCAGAUUAGGUAGUUGGUGAGGUAAAGGCUCACCAAGCCAACGAUCUGUAGCUGGUCUGAGAGGACGACCAGCCACACUGGAACUGAGACACGGUCCAGACUCCUACGGGAGGCAGCAGUGGGGAAUUUUGGACAAUGGACGCAAGUCUGAUCCAGCAAUGCCGCGUGCAAGGAAGAAGGCCUUCGGUU
rnacentral:rRNA from 1 species